UGUCAGAGUGGAGCCCAGCGCGUCAGGACCGUUCCUGGCGAGCAGCUUGGUAUCUUCUCCGACACUCUGGGCGUGUGGCUCUGACGGCUUGUUAUUCCGUCUCUAAGAGGUCGCCAGCAACCCGAAGAACAGGGAUGAAAGGGUGCUUUCUCCGCUCCAUGGUUCCAGGACACAGUCUGAAGCUGACUCGGGUUGUUGCUGUUGCCUUUGAGGACAGGAUGCAAUUCUUGUAAGGAAAUAAGAAGCCUGAGGAUACAGAAAGAGUAUUGAUGAAAAGACAAGCUUGAAGAACACCUUUCAUCAUCUUGUAAGAAACGUCUAAUGGUGAUAAACUCCAUUCUUGAAAGACAACUUUUCCAGGUCGUGUUAAAAGUUCAGACUUACUCAGAAUCAUAUAACAGAACUCUCCUUGAACUCUCUGAAGCAAAAGAAGUUUCCUCAUUUUGAUCAAGAGGGCUGUCAUUCUGAAACAGUCCAUGUGGCAAAGAAUUUAUGGCAGCUUAGAGCCAACAACUUGGAAGGAACUGAGGCCUCUCAGUCCAUCAACCCACAAGAAAUGGAAUCCUGCCUGGGUUCUCUUGGAAGAAUUUUCCCCAACUGAAUCUUGAGCUGAGUGUGGUCCUGGGCUGAGAUGUUGAUUGCAGGCUUGCAAGAGACCCUGAAGCUAAGGAACCAGGUGAGCCAUGCUUGGAUUCCUGACCCAUAGAAAACAUGAAACUAAAUGUGUGUUGUUUAAGCCAUAAGAUUUAGAGUAACUUGUUAUGCAGCAAUAGGUAUGUAAUAUAGUAUGUGCUCUUAGUUAAAUAUAAGGGGAAUUAUUAUGACAUGAUUUAUGAAAGCUUCAUGAAGAAAAAGAAUGAGCUGAAUCUAAAAGGGAGAAUAGUAUUAGUUGUUGUCCAGUUAAACUUGGCACAUUUUUAAAAUGGCCAUGAUUAGCUGAAAAUAAUACUUGGAAGAGCUAAAAGAAGACAAGCAUUAAUUGGAAUGAA